rnacentral:misc_RNA from 1 species
UUGAAUCCAAAGGAUGUUGCUGGUGCUUGAAAAAGUACAUGUGCACUCCGACCUUCAUAAUCCACCUGUGCACUCAUUGUAGGCUCUGGAUUGAUUUCCAGGUCUAUGCUUUUCAUACACACUACAAAGUUCAUUGAAUGUCUAGGCUUUCAUUGCCUAAAAAUAAUAAUA